UACGUAGGGGGCGAGCGUUGUCCGGAAUCAUUGGGCGUAAAGCGCGUGUAGGCGGCCCGGUAAGUCCGCUGUGAAAGUCGGGGGCUCAACCCUCGAAUGCCGGUGGAUACUGUCGGGCUAGAGUGCGGGAGAGGCGAGUGGAAUUCCUGGUGUAGCGGUGAAAUGCGCAGAUAUCAGGAGGAACACCAAUUGCGAAGGCAGCUCGCUGGAACGUAACUGACGCUGAGACGCGAAAGCGUGGGGAGCAAAC
rnacentral:rRNA from 1 species